GGUCAUUCGAGUUGUCUGAUACAGACUGCAGGGUUCAGUGAGCGGUCAUCAAGAUGUUCACUUGCCAUACCCCCCUCUGUUUGUUUAGGCUAUCCUCCCUAAUGCCCUAAGACAGUAAACUGUUCACUAACACACAAAAAACAUCAAACCAUUACCAGCCAGAGACCACCAGGUGUAGCUCCUACCCCUUUAACAACAGUUUAACCUAAACAUGAUAACCAUAGACUACAAAAGACCAAAAACAUCACACUAGUAUCGCCUCCGCCACCCCACUUUCCCCGUUGAGAACAGUCACAUUGCCAUCAGAGUCUACAUCGACGAUUGCCGAAUCGCCCUCUUUAAUCUCCCCUGCGAGCAUCUUCUCUGCCAAGCUAUCCUCCAACAGCCUCAUGAUCGCCCUCCUCA
rnacentral:misc_RNA from 1 species